rnacentral:rRNA from 1 species
GGAAGUAAAAUUCCGUGGAGGUCCGGAUCCACAUCCGUUGAAAAGGGUGGGGAUGAGGUGUGGAUAGCGGAGAAAUUCCAAUCGAACCCGGAGAUAGCUGGUUCUCCCCGAAAUAGCUUUAGGGCUAGCCUCGAUCGAAGGAUUACCGGGGGUAGAGCACUGAAUGGGCUAGGGGGCCACAAAGCUUACCGAACCCUAUCAAACUGCGAAUACCGGAGAAUCAGGAUCGGGAGUCACACAGUGGGAGAUAAGUUUCAUUGUGGAAAGGGAAACAGCCCAGACCAACGACUAAGGUCCCGAAGUGACGGUUAAGUGGGAAAGGAUGUGCAACUGCACAGACAACCAGGAUGUUGGCUUAGAAGCAGCCACACAUUUAAAGAGUGCGUAAUAGCUCACUGGUCGAGUGGAUGUGCGCCGAAAAUGUAGCGGGGCUAAACCGAACACCGAAGUCUUGGGAUGGCGGAAGCCAUCGGUAGGGGAGCAACGAAUACGGGCAGAAGCGGGAUUGUGAGAGACCGUGGACCGUAUUGGAGAGAGAAUGCCGGCAUGAGUAGCGAGAGCGAAGUGAGAAUCUUCGCCGUCGAAAGCCUAAGGUUUCCUGAGGAAGGUUCGUCCUCUCAGGGUAAGUCGGGACCUAAGCCGAGGACAGAAGUCGUAGGUGAUGGACAACAGGUUGAUAUUCCUGUACCGCCGACACACGUUAGACAGAGGCAGUGACACAGAAGGAUAGGCAGAGCGGCCGAAUGGUAGAGGCCGUCCAAGCGGCAAGGGAGCAGCGUAGUGAAGUACGCGUUGCAAUUCCGAGUCGUGAUGGGGACUGAAAACAAGUAGGGAAGCUGCUGAAUUCACGCUGGCGAGAAAAGCUGCUAUGGAGUGUGAAGGCGCCCGUACCGCAAACCGACACAGGUGGGCGAGGAGAGAAUCCUAAGACGAGCGGGAGAACCCUUGUUAAGGAACUCGGCAAAAUGACCCCGUAACUUCGGGAUAAGGGGAGCCUCGGAAGAGGCCGCAGAGAAUAGGCCCAAGCGACUGUUUAGCAAAAACACAGGUCUGUGCGAAGUAGAGAUACGACGUAUACGGGCUGACGCCUGCCCAGUGCUGGAAGGUUAAGGGGAAAUGUCAGGGCAACCGAAGCAUGGAACUUAAGCCCCAGUGAACGGCGGCCGUAACUAUAACGGUCCUAAGGUAGCGAAAUUCCUUGUCAGGUAAGUUCUGACCCGCACGAAAGGCGUAAUGAUUUGGGCACUGUCUCAACAGCCCGCCCGGCGAAAUUGUAGUACCGGUGAAGAUGCCGGUUACCCGCGACAAGACGGAAAGACCCCAUGGAGCUUUACUGUAGCCUAAUAUUGGGUUUCGAUGUUGCAUGCACAGGAUAGAUGGGACUCUUGGAAACCAAGGCUUUGGCUUUGGCGGAGAGGCCGUUGGGAUACCAUCCUUGCGAUAUUGGAAUUCUAACCUGCGCCUUUGAAUCAAGGCGGGGGACAUUGUUAGGUGGGCAGUUUGACUGGGGCGGUCGCCUCCAAAAGAGUAACGGAGGCGCUCAAAGGUUCGUUCAGCACGGACGGAAAUCGUGCAUUGAGUGUAAACGCAUAAACGAGCCUAACUGCGAGACCGACGGGUCGAGCAGUAACGAAAGUUGGAGUUAGUGAUCCGGUGGUAUGUGAGUGGAAAUGCCAUCGCUCAACGGAUAAAAGCUACCCUGGGGAUAACAGGCUGAUCUCCCCCAAGAGUCCACAUCGACGGGGAGGUUUGGCACCUCGAUGUCGGCUCAUCGCAUCCUGGGGCUGUAUUCGGUCCCAAGGGUUUGGCUGUUCGCCAAUUAAAGCGGCACGCGAGCUGGGUUCAGAACGUCGUGAGACAGUUCGGUCCCUAUCUGUUGCGGGCGUAAGAGAUUUGAAGGGAGCUGUCCUUAGUACGAGAGGACCGGGAUGGACGUACCUCUGGUGCACCAGUUGUCCUGCCAAGGGCAUAGCUGGGUAGCUAUGUACGGACGAGAUAAACGCUGAAAGCAUCUAAGCGUGAAACUCUCCCUAAGAUGAGAUCUCUCAUCCAUUAUGGAGUAAGGGCCCAGAAAGACGAUCUGGUUGAUAGGCCGGAGGUGGAAGCACGGUAACGUGUGCAGCUGACCGGUACUAAUAGCCCGAGGGCUUGACCUA